UCCUAUUUGUCACCGGCAGUCUCCUAUGAGUCCCCGUCUUUCACGCUGGCAACAUAGGACAGGGGUUGCGCUCGUUGCGGGACUUAACCCAACAUCUCACGACGCGAGCUGACGACAGCCAUGCACCACCUGUGCAACGGCCCCGAAGGGCUGCCGUAUUUCUACGACAUUCCGGUGCAUGUCAAGCCUUGGUAAGGUUCUUCGCGUCGCGUCGAAUUAAACCACAUGCUCCGCUGCUUGUGCGGGUCCCCGUCAAUUCCUUUGAGUUUUAGCCUUGCGGCCGUACUCCCCAGGCGGGGCGCUUAAUGCGUUAGCUACGGCACAGAAUCAACCAACGUGACCCCACACCUAGCGCCCACCGUUUACAGCAUGGACUAC
rnacentral:misc_RNA from 1 species